UACGGGGGGAGCAAGCGUUGUUCGGAUUUACUGGGCGUAAAGGGCGCGUAGGUGGCCCUGUAUGUCUACCGUGAAAGCGUACGGCUCAACCGUAUCUUGUCGGUAGAAACUGCAGGACUUGAGGCUGGGAGGGGCUGGUGGAAUUCCCUGUGUAGCGGUGAAAUGCGUAGAGAUGGGGGAGAACACUCGUGGCGAAGGCGGCCAGCUAGACCAGUUCUGACACUGAGGCGCGACAGCGUGGGGAGCAAACAGG
rnacentral:rRNA from 1 species